rnacentral:tRNA from 1 species
UAGCUCAGCUGGGAGAGCAUCUGCCUUACAAGCAGAGGGUCGGGGGUUCGAUCCCCU